rnacentral:rRNA from 1 species
GUGAGGAAUUUUCCGCAAUGGGCGAAAGCCUGACGGAGCAAUGCCGCGUGAAGGAUGAAGGCCUAUGGGUUGUAAACUUCUUUUCUCAGAAAAGAAUUAUGACGGUAUCUGAGGAAUAAGCAUCGGCUAACUCUGUGCCAGCAGCCGCGGUAAGACAGAGGAUGCAAGCGUUAUCCGGAAUGAUUGGGCGUAAAGCGUCUGUAGGUUGUUUAAAAAGUAUUCUGUCAAAGAUUAGGGCUUAACCCUAGAUAGGCAGAAUAAACUUUUAAGCUAGAGUUUGGUAGAGGCAGAGGGAAUUCCCGGUGGAGCGGUGAAAUGCGUAGAUAUCGGGAGGAACACCAAAGGCGAAGGCACUCUGCAGGGCCAAUACUAACACUGAGAGACGAAAGCGAGGGGAGCAAAUGGGAUUAGAUACCCUAGUAGUCC